rnacentral:rRNA from 1 species
GGAGGGACAUUACUGAGUUAUUAAAACUCCAAACCCUUUGUGAACCUUACUGUCGUUGCCUCGGCGUGAGCUACGGCUACCCUGUAGUUACCCUAUAGCUACCCUGCAGCUACCCUAUAGUUGACCAGUGGCUACCCUGUAGUUACCCUAUAGCUACCCUGCAGCUACCCUAUAGUUGACCAGUAGCUACCCUGUAGCCGGCUUAUGGCCCGCCGAAGGACCGCUAAACUCUUGUUUUUUACCACUGUUUCUCUGAAUUGUAAACUUAAAUAAGUUAAAACUUUCAACAACGGAUCUCUUGGUUCUGGCAUCGAUGAAGAACGCAGCGAAAUGCGAUAAGUAAUGUGAAUUGCAGAAUUCAGUGAAUCAUCGAAUCUUUGAACGCACAUUGCGCCCAUUAGUAUUCUAGUGGGCAUGCCUAUUCGAGCGUCAUUUCGACCCUUAAGCCCCUGUUGCUUAGCGUUGGGAAUCUACAGCGUAGUUCCUUAAAGUUAGUGGCGGAGUUAGGGUACACUCUCAGCGUAGUAAUCUUUCUCGCUCGUGUGGUGGCCCUGGCUGCUAGCCGUUAAACCCCUAUAUUUUCUAGUGGUUGACCUCGGAUUAGGUAGGAAUACCCGCUGAACUUAAGCAUAUCAAUAAGCGGAGGAA